rnacentral:rRNA from 1 species
AUUGAACGCUGGCGGCAUGCCUUACACAUGCAAGUCGAACGAGUGGCGAACGGGUGAGUAACGCAUCGGAAAGUGCCCAAUAGAGGGGGAUAACUGUCCGAAAGGGUAGCUAAUACCGCAUACUAUUCGAUCGGCCGAUGUCGGAUUAGCUGGGUGGGGGGGUAAAGGCCCACCAAGGCGACGAUCCGUAGCGGGUCUGAGAGGAUGAGCCGCCAAAAGGGGACUGGGGCAAGGGCCAGAAUCCUAAGGGAGGGAGCAGUGGGGAAUUUUGGACAAUGGGCGCAAGCCUGAUCCAGCCAUGCCGGGGGUGUGAAGAAGGCCUUCGGGUUGUAAAGCUCUGUUAAGCGGGACGCGGUACCGGAAUAGAAAGCCACGGCUAACUACGUGCCAGCAGCCGCGGUAAUAC